rnacentral:lncRNA from 1 species
GUGUGUUAAUACAAGCAGGUAUCGUUCCACUUUAUCCCACGCAUUGAUUUGCUUUUUGUAGACAAACAGUUCAAGUAAAUAGUAUGUGUAUGUGAAGAAAGAUUUAAUUUACAAAAUGUUUCUUCCUUUAAAUUCCAUAUUUGUAAAAAAAAAAUUAUUAGUUUGUAUUAAAAAAUAUAAAACAAUAAAGAUGGUUCAUGAAUUUAAUGCAUAUACAUAA